rnacentral:lncRNA from 1 species
CAGGCCUCUCCCUUCAGACUCCUCUUCUUAAUAGAUGCUGCCACUUCCCCCUUUCCUCUUCUCCCCGCAGCCCCGGCCCACGCUGACCCUCUCCCAGGCCCCACAGCCUGGCCCUCGCACCCCUGGCUUGCUGAAGGUUCCUGGCUCCAUCGCACUUCCUGUCCAGACACUGGUGUCUGCACGAGCGGCUGCCCCACCACAGCCUUCCCCUCCUCCAACCAAGUUUAUUGUAAUGUCAUCGUCCUCCAGCGCCCCAUCCACCCAGCAGGUCCUGUCCCUCAGCACCUCCGCCCCUGGCUCAGGUUCCACCACCACUUCGCCCGUCACCACCACCGUCCCCAGCGUGCAGCCCAUCGUCAAGCUGGUCUCCACCGCCACCACCGCACCCCCCAGCACUGCUCCCUCUGGUCCUGGGAGUGUCCAGAAGUACAUCGUGGUCUCACUUCCCCCAACAGGGGAGGGCAAAGGAGGCCCCACCUCCCAUCCUUCUCCAGUUCCUCCCCCGGCAUCGUCCCCGUCCCCACUCAGCGGCAGUGCCCUUUGUGGGGGGAAGCAGGAAGCUGGGGACAGUCCCCCUCCAGCUCCAGGGACUCCAAAAGCCAAUGGCUCCCAGUCCAACUCCGGCUCCCCUCAGCCUGCUCCGUGAUGCUCCACCUGCCAGCCCCCGGAUUCCCACACAUGCAGACAUGUACACACGUGCACGUACACACAUGCAUGCACGCUAAGCGGAAGGAAGUUGUAGAUUGCUUCCUUCAUGUCAC